rnacentral:tRNA from 1 species
ACUGCCUUAGCUUAGUUAGUAGAGCAUCGGCACAAAUCCGAAGAUCGCGGGCUCAAAUCUCGCCGGCAGUC